rnacentral:rRNA from 1 species
AUGACGUCAAGUCAGCAUGGCCUUUAUAUCCUGGGCUACACACACGCUACAAUGGGAAGGGACAAUAGGUUGCGAAGCCGCGAGGUGGAGCCAAUCCAGUAAAACUUCCCUCAGUUCAGAUUGCAGGCUGCAACUCGCCUGCAUGAAGUUGGAGUUGCUAGUAAACGCAGGUCAGCCAUACUGCGUUGAAUACGUUCCCGGGGCUU